rnacentral:rRNA from 1 species
CCAAUAGCGUAUAUUAAAGUUGUUGCAGUUAAAAAGCUCGUAGUUGAAUUGCGGGAUCAAGGGAUUGGUCAUGCCUCGGUAUGUACUGGUCUUAUUGGUUCUCACCUUCUAAGGAACCAUGAUGUCAUUUAUUGGAUGUUGUGGGGAAUUAGGACUGUUACCUUGAAAAAAUUAGAGUGUUUAAAGCAGGCUUACGCUUGACUACAUUAGCAUGGAAUAAUCAAAUAGGACAUCAGAUUCUAUUUUGUUGGUUUCUAGGAUCGAUGUAAUGAUUAAUAGGGAUAGUUGGGGGCAUUAGCAUUCAAUUGUCAGAGGUGAAAUUCUUGGAUUUAUUGAAGACUAACUACUGCGAAAGCAUUUGCCAAGGAUGUUUUCAUUAAUCAAGAACGAAAGUUAGGGGAUCGAAGACGAUCAGAUACCGUCGUAGUCUUAACCAUAAACUAUGCCGACUAGGGAUCGGAUGAUGUUUAUUUUUUAGUGACUCAUUCGGCACCUUACG